CCGCGGGAGCGGGAGGAGCGGAAUCCCUUCCCUGAGGGGCUCCGUGUCCGUGUGUGCCCACGGCGGAGGGACAGCGAGGGCUUGGAAUCCAGGGCCGUGGCGGUUGUUCGUGUUUCUAACACGAAACGCCCCUCAAGACGUAAUUCGGCUCCUUUAAACCGAGGGGUGGGAUGGGUUUGAAUUAGUUUGUGUAUGAUGGGUUUGAAUUAGUUUGUGAGGUAAGACGUAAAUAAAUCCUUUCUUACUCCUUUCACAAUAGCUUAGGAAGGUUGGUGUCGUAUAAACCCUGUACACUGGAAGGGCUACGUAAAAAAAAAAAAAAAGAAGGGAUAUUACACCAAAAAAUGGCAAAGAAGUAUUUUUCUCACACGAACUUAUGAAAAGUAUUCCUUGUCUCCGAGCCUGUCUGAACUGUGGCAUUUAUCGAGAAGGCUUUUCUGGUUCAUCUCUGUUGGAGCAGCUUUCCUUGGAACCGGCAAGAGAUGAGCACAGCCCUUACAGCUCGCUGCUGGUACACCUGAUACUACUGUAGGAUUCUUCCUUUGAAGGGUGUCUGGAGUAGACACUCAGGAGUGGGAUUGUGUUCAGCUGUGUGUGGUUCAGGUGUGUUUACAGCCAGGAGAGGCCAGAGAGGCUGCAACUGGGAAGAAUCAGGAACUGAUGGAACUGGGUUGUGUGGCCAUAGUCAGGGGGCAGAGAAAAUUAAACCUCUUGGAGCAAAUGUGAAAGGAAAAGCUGGAGGAAAUUUGCCAGUUUUUAUAUUGGGGUUUUCUGAUAGAUAUUACUUAAGUCUUGGUGUAGAAGCGUGAAGGCAGGGUGCGGAUAAAAUGAAGGGGGAAAUUUAAGCCGUCAGCUCCAAUGAAGGAUGAUGCUGUAAUAUGGGCAGAAAAGCUCUGUCAGAUUAUUUUGGUUUGCACCCUGGUGAAGCCUGUGACAGCACUGCAUACUCAAUGAUCUUGAUGUGCUGCCAUUUCAUUCAGUGCUGAAUGCAGCCAAUUCGAGCUGCUAGAAUUUCUUGAUGUCCUACAUUGGCAUUCUGAGUCAGCAUCUUGUCGCUGCUCCAGCUUAAUUAAAUUUGCCAGUUGUGCCACGGGGAUGGACACAUCCCUGUAUCCAGAGAGACAGCUGUGAAGUGUUAUUAAGAGCUGUGGAUGUGAUACUGCUGGGUUUGAAUGACACUAGAGAUGUUUCCUACUGCUGAAAUAGUAUCUUAAAAAUAUGCUUUUUCCAAGAUCAGCAGUUAAUGUUCAUUUUGUCUGCCUUAAGUAUUUUCUCUCUUAAGAACAAUUAUUUUAAAUAGAGCAGGGCUGAGCUGGUUGGCCUUCAUGUACUGGAGUGGUUUUAAGAACCAGCUUUGUUGUUGUUAGGGCAGCUGUGCCCCUUGCCCUGGCCUAAUGUCAUUUGU